rnacentral:pre_miRNA from 11 species
CCUUAUAGGACCUGCAUUGUACACACUGUGUGUAUGGACUGGAGGUGCACAGCGCAUACAAUGUGGAUGCUAUAGAA